AGUGCAGGUCAUAGGAUGAGGAAAGGGAGGAAGGUAGGGUCGAAGAGGCAGAAUCAGGAGACAGCAGGAUUCAGCAGAAGGGAGAGAUGAUAGGAUAGAAGAGGAGAGAGUGUGAAGAUUCCGAAGGCGUAUGACCAUAUGGGUAGGGGCUGAGAGGUUAAGGUUGGAGGAGAGGGAGACAAAAAAGGAAACAAAGUUGUGAUCAAAGACCUGGAGGGGGGUUGAAGUGAGACUAGUGGGCGAGCAGCCUCUAGUAAAGAUGACGUCAAGUGUACUGCCUGCCUUGUGAGUUGGAGGGGAUUGGGAAAGGGUGAGGUCAAAAGCGGCAAGGAGAGAAGGCGUGGAUCUGAGCCUGUUCCAGUGAAAACAGGACAUCCUUCUCGUCUGACUCAUUAAAGGGAAAAGUUUAUUCCAGUCCGCAGUCACUUGUAGAGCGAGAGAGAGGGGUGUGGUCAAUGUUCCAUGGCGUCCUCCUCCUCAUCGUCACUACUGGUCUUCAUCCAGGGCAGGGUCUGUUUCCCUUCCUCCCCCUCUGUCUCAUCCCCUAGUUCCACCAGAAGCUACUCUAUGUGCUCCAGAAUGGGUCCGUCAUCACAGCGCAACUUCACAUACAGCUGGAGAGAGAGACACACACACAGAAAUAAACAUUUGUCACAUACAUACACGUUACCAAAUGCCUCUUUCCUGGUGUAUUGGACUCAGUGAAAUACGCUGUGUAAACUUCUGACCCACUGGGAAUGUAAUGAAAGAAAUAAAAGCUGAAAUAAA